rnacentral:rRNA from 1 species
CCUACGGGGGACAGCAGUAGGGAAUAUUGCUCAAUGGGGGACACCCUGAAGCAGCAAAGCCGCGUGGAGGAUGAAGGCUUUAUGAUUGUUAAACCCUUUUGAUAGAGAAGAUAAUGACGGUACCUAACGAAUAAGCACCGGCGAACUCCGUGCCAGAUGCCCCGGUAAUAUGGAGGGUGCAAGCGUUACUCGGAAUCACCGGGUGUAAAGAGCGCGUAGGCGGAAUAGCAAGUCAGAUGUGAAAGCCUAUGGCUUAACCAUAGAACUGCAUUUGAAACUGGUAGUCUAGAGUAUAGUAGAGGUAGGUGGAAUUCUUGGUGUAGGGGUGAAAUGCGUAGAGAUCACGAAGAAUACUCAUUGCGAAGGCG